rnacentral:lncRNA from 1 species
CCCGUCACCAGCAGUUGUGCACAGAGGCACUAAAAAAAGGAGAGAGGAGAGAGGAAGAGGAAGAAGGGCUUAUCUUAGCCUCCAAUGACCUCGCCGGCGAGAAAUCACAGCGAGCACAAAACAAGGGGCCGCGGCUUCAAUCAAGAAAAUUGGAGAGGAACUAUCGGUGAUCAUCGGUGAUUGCUAUGUCCUCUCACAGAGAGAG